rnacentral:rRNA from 1 species
GGGUUGUGAGGUUAAGCGACUAAGCGUACACGGUGGAUGCCCUGGCAGUCAGAGGCGAUGAAGGACGUGCUAAUCUGCGAUAAGCGUCGGUAAGGUGAUAUGAACCGUUAUAACCGGCGAUUUCCGAAUGGGGAAACCCAGUGUGUUUCGACACACUAUCAUUAACUGAAUCCAUAGGUUAAUGAGGCGAACCGGGGGAACUGAAACAUCUAAGUACCCCGAGGAAAAGAAAUCAACCGAGAUUCCCCCAGUAGCGGCGAGCGAACGGGGAGCAGCCCAGAGCCUGAAUCAGUGUGUGUGUUAGUGGAAGCGUCUGGAAAGGCGCGCGAUACAGGGUGACAGCCCCGUACACAAAAAUGCACAUGCUGUGAGCUCGAUGAGUAGGGCGGGACACGUGGUAUCCUGUCUGAAUAUGGGGGGACCAUCCUCCAAGGCUAAAUACUCCUGACUGACCGAUAGUGAACCAGUACCGUGAGGGAAAGGCGAAAAGAACCCCGGCGAGGGGAGUGAAAAAGAACCUGAAACCGUGUACGUACAAGCAGUGGGAGCACGCUUAGGCGUGUGACUGCGUACCUUUUGUAUAAUGGGUCAGCGACUUAUAUUCUGUAGCAAGGUUAACCGAAUAGGGGAGCCGAAGGGAAACCGAGUCUUAACUGGGCGUUAAGUUGCAGGGUAUAGACCCGAAACCCGGUGAUCUAGCCAUGGGCAGGUUGAAGGUUGGGUAACACUAACUGGAGGACCGAACCGACUAAUGUUGAAAAAUUAGCGGAUGACUUGUGGCUGGGGGUGAAAGGCCAAUCAAACCGGGAGAUAGCUGGUUCUCCCCGAAAGCUAUUUAGGUAGCGCCUCGUGAAUUCAUCUCCGGGGGUAGAGCACUGUUUCGGCAAGGGGGUCAUCCCGACUUACCAACCCGAUGCAAACUGCGAAUACCGGAGAAUGUUAUCACGGGAGACACACGGCGGGUGCUAACGUCCGUCGUGAAGAGGGAAACAACCCAGACCGCCAGCUAAGGUCCCAAAGUCAUGGUUAAGUGGGAAACGAUGUGGGAAGGCCCAGACAGCCAGGAUGUUGGCUUAGAAGCAGCCAUCAUUUAAAGAAAGCGUAAUAGCUCACUGGUCGAGUCGGCCUGCGCGGAAGAUGUAACGGGGCUAAACCAUGCACCGAAGCUGCGGCAGCGACGCUGAUGCGUUGUUGGGUAGGGGAGCGUUCUGUAAGCCUGCGAAGGUGUGCUGUGAGGCAUGCUGGAGGUAUCAGAAGUGCGAAUGCUGACAUAAGUAACGAUAAAGCGGGUGAAAAGCCCGCUCGCCGGAAGACCAAGGGUUCCUGUCCAACGUUAAUCGGGGCAGGGUGAGUCGACCCCUAAGGCGAGGCCGAAAGGCGUAGUCGAUGGGAAACAGGUUAAUAUUCCUGUACUUGGUGUUACUGCGAAGGGGGGACGGAGAAGGCUAUGUUGGCCGGGCGACGGUUGUCCCGGUUUAAGCGUGUAGGCUGGUUUUCCAGGCAAAUCCGGAAAAUCAAGGCUGAGGCGUGAUGACGAGGCACUACGGUGCUGAAGCAACAAAUGCCCUGCUUCCAGGAAAAGCCUCUAAGCAUCAGGUAACAUCAAAUCGUACCCCAAACCGACACAGGUGGUCAGGUAGAGAAUACCAAGGCGCUUGAGAGAACUCGGGUGAAGGAACUAGGCAAAAUGGUGCCGUAACUUCGGGAGAAGGCACGCUGAUAUGUAGGUGAAGUCCCUUGCGGAUGGAGCUGAAAUCAGUCGAAGAUACCAGCUGGCUGCAACUGUUUAUUAAAAACACAGCACUGUGCAAACACGAAAGUGGACGUAUACGGUGUGACGCCUGCCCGGUGCCGGA